rnacentral:rRNA from 1 species
GGAAUCUUCCACAAUGGACGAAAGUCUGAUGGAGCAACGCCGCGUGAGUGAAGAAGGGUUUCGGCUCGUAAAACUCUGUUGUUAAAGAAGAACAUAUCUGAGAGUAACUGUUCAGGUAUUGACGGUAUUUAACCAGAAAGCCACGGCUAACUACGUGCCAGCAGCCGCGGUAAUACGUAGGUGGCAAGCGUUGUCCGGAUUUAUUGGGCGUAAAGCGAGCGCAGGCGGUUUUUUAAGUCUGAUGUGAAAGCCUUCGGCUCAACCGAAGAAGUGCAUCGGAAACUGGGAAACUUGAGUGCAGAAGAGGACAGUGGAACUCCAUGUGUAGCGGUGAAAUGCGUAGAUAUAUGGAAGAACACCAGUGGCGAAGGCGGCUGUCUGGUCUGUAACUGACGCUGAGGCUCGAAAGUAUGGGUAGCAAACA